rnacentral:rRNA from 1 species
AUUGAACGCUGGCGGCAGGCCUAACACAUGCAAGUCGAACGAGUGGCGGACGGGUGAGUAAUGUCUGGGAAACUGCCUGAUGGAGGGGGAUAACUACUGGAAACGGUAGCUAAUACCGCAUACCAUCGGAUGUGCCCAGAUGGGAUUAGCUAGUAGGUGGGGUAACGGCUCACCUAGGCGACGCUCCCUAGCUGGUCUGAGAGUAUGACCAGCUACACUGGAACUGAGACACGGGCCAGACUCCGACGGGAGGCAGCAGUGGGGAAUAUUGCACAAUGGGCGCAAUCCGGAUGCAGACAUGCCGCGGGUAUGAAGAAGGCCUUCGGGUUGUAAAGUACUUUCAGCGGGGAGGCGUGACCCGCAGAAGAAGCACCGGCUAACUCCGUGCCAGCAGCCGCGGUAAUUC